CUGAACGCAGCAUUCUGCAUCAACUGCCGCGUCCCCUCCCUCGGCUCGGUUCGCCAGCGUUGCACUCGCAGUCGCCAGGAUCGGAACUCGCUCGGCUCGCUUCUCGUCUGCUGGCCCGAGUGGGAGGAGGACGUGCGGAUCGAGCCGCUAGUGGUGCUCGCUGGUGGGUGGGGGGAAUAAAACACACGCACAAGUUUUACGUGCGGGACGUGCUGCGCGUAACCGACUCGUGGAUGUGAGGGAAAAGGGAAAGCUCACCCACCCCCCAUCCUCUCCCAAUCACAGGACAAAGCAUCCUUCAAUUCCACGCGUGUGUGCACCUUUUUUUUUUUUGUUUUUUGUUACCCCCUCGGGAGCGUUGCCUCCCCAACUGAAACCCCGCCAUUGAGACCCCACUUUUUUUGAAAUUUUAUUUGAGCCACAGGCGUCCGUCCUUACGUGUGAUGAAGUCCCCCAUUGCCGCGGGCAUCAUCGGGCGACGUCAAUCAUAAUUAAGGAUUUUUUUUUUUUUUUUUUUAAUUUUAACACGUCGGCGUUUCAUCUCAACAGCAGUCUUGAGGGAAAAACAGAAGAAGACGGCAGCGAGGUUCCUUUGGCGUAACAUCCAUGAGCUCCACUUCACACUACAGUUUCAGGAUGCCAAAUAUUGGGUUCCAGAACCUGCCCCUUAAUAUCUACAUUGUUGUGUUUGGGACAGUCAUUUUUGUCUUCAUCCUCAGUCUCCUCUUCUGCUGCUACCUGAUAAGGUUACGGCAACAGGCGCACAAAGAACUCUACGCGUACAAACAAGUUAUUCAGAAGGAAAAGGUGAAAGAGUUAAAUUUGCAUGAGAUAUGCGCGGUGUGCUUGGAGGAGUUCAAACAGAAAGACGAGCUGGGGAUUUGUCCGUGCAAACACGCCUUUCACAGGAAAUGCCUCAUCAAGUGGCUGGAGGUGAGGAAAGUGUGCCCGCUGUGCAACAUGCCCGUCUUACAGCUCGCCCAGCAGGCCGGCACCACGGAAGCUCCCGCGCCAACCCAGCAGCCUCUGCCGGGCGUGGAGAACCUGGUCUAGCCGACCUGAAGCCAACGCGACGGUGACACUUACACGUAUAAGUGCACACACCCGCACCAAUAAGUACAGACGAGCAGUCGGCUGUAAAGGUUCAAUGAUUUUGGACUCUGCGGACCCGCCUGGUGGGGAAAAGACGUGCUUAUCUUUUCAUCGACUGGAUUAACCUUUUUUCUCUUUGCGGACAUGGAAAGAACGUUGAUGCGGUUGACAACCAAAGCACUUUUUCUGUGGACACCGGCUGAACAGGAGAGCAAGAGCUACAAUACACGUUCUUUUUUUUCAUAUUUUAUUAUUAUUUAAUAAGCACUUUACAAGAAGACAAAACCUUAUUGCUUCCAUUUGUGGUCGCGAUGGUAUAUUUUAUAUCGGAUUUUUGACCAUGACUUCCGUGUUCACUUUGAAGUCUCGCGGGUUUUCAUUUUUAAUUGGUGAACUUCAAUUAGAAUCAUAAAUCUGAAAGGGGGAGAAAGUAAUAUGUUUUUGUGAAAUGUCUGCAAGGCUUCAAAACUUUUCAUUUUUUUUCCACACACUUUGAAGGAAGCUCAAAAGAGACUUGAAUUCAUUGAUUUUUAAGUGACAGGAUUACACGUGCCGACCUCCAUGUGAAGUGCCAUCUUCUUAUUAGUCUUUGCCCAUUUAUUAUUUUUAUUAUCAUGCAACUGUUUUAAUAGUUUUGUAUUAUUUUGGCAGUCUUGAGAAGUGUUACACUAAUAAAUAAACGACCAUGUUUCCUCAUCUAGUGGCUGUGCGGCAGAGGUGGAGGGGGUGUGUGCUAAUUUCUCAACUGCACAGAGUACAAGUGGAAGACGUCUGGGAUGACCAGAACCCUUUCGAGAAGUGGCCGUCGGGCAAAACGGCAUUGGUGGGGGAUGAGAGCCUUGGUGAGGGGUUGAAGAACCUGAAGACUUGCGGAAGUUCUAGAAAGCCAACCACUGCAACGCCUCCACCGAUCGGGGGGGCUUUGUGGCAGAGUGGCCCGGUGGAAGCUUCCCCUCGGUAUGAGAUGAAAACCUCCGGGGUGCUCAGGACCCCGGACUGGCCUGAAGGUUCAACUUAAAAGACAAAUGACCCUAACCACGCAGCUGAGUGGCUUCAGAGCAACUCCGUGACUUGAAUGGCCCAGCCAGAGCCCUGACUUAAACCCAACCGAGCAUCUCUGGAGGCACCUGAAAAUGGCCACCGUAAGAUAAUACAGGAAAAGUGAAUGUGUUUGGCAAUAACCGCAAUUGGAGCUUCCUGUGACACAGGACAUCGUAGCCACGUCGCUGUCCUCGAUGGUAAUGCGCAACAUAGCUGAAGGCUCAAUUAAAAAAGGAAAAGUUUGGCACAUACGCUGCAAUUUCAGUUGUAGCUCGGUGCGACGAAAGACGUCCCGCGACAAACGCAAUCAAGAAAUCAACGAGGCGGGUGAUGAAAAUGGUUUCAUUUGAAAAUGGCGCACGAGUUUAUUCUGCAUUUUGAAAUAAAUUACGUCAACUGUACAAUAUUUGCAUUUCCGAACGCUCAGAAUCGCGCAUCUAUUCACAAGUGGCAGCAGAAGCAAAAUAAAAAUACUUGCACGCAGAUUAGCUUUGACGUGUUAAGAAAAUAGAAAACUGAGAUUGUUUUGCCUUUUUAAAAAAAAAAAAAAACCUUUAAA